rnacentral:rRNA from 1 species
CCCAUGGCUCAGAUUGAACGCUGGCGGCAGGCCUAACACAUGCAAGUCGAGCGGUAGAGAGAAGCUUGCUUCUCUUGAGAGCGGCGGACGGGUGAGUAAUGCCUAGGAAUCUGCCUGGUAGUGGGGGAUAACGUUCGGAAACGGACGCUAAUACCGCAUACGUCCUACGGGAGAAAGCAGGGGACCUUCGGGCCUUGCGCUAUCAGAUGAGCCUAGGUCGGAUUAGCUAGUUGGUGAGGUAAUGGCUCACCAAGGCGACGAUCCGUAACUGGUCUGAGAGGAUGAUCAGUCACACUGGAACUGAGACACGGUCCAGACUCCUACGGGAGGCAGCAGUGGGGAAUAUUGGACAAUGGGCGAAAGCCUGAUCCAGCCAUGCCGCGUGUGUGAAGAAGGUCUUCGGAUUGUAAAGCACUUUAAGUUGGGAGGAAGGGCAGUAACUUAAUACGUUGCUGUUUUGACGUUACCGACAGAAUAAGC